UGAAUAGUGCACAUGAUAGAUCCUGUGGAAAUUGGAAUUGAACGACUCGUGGAAACGCCCUUUAUGCACACACAUAAAAUAUAUAAAGUAGAUUAACAGAUAUUAAUCAACAUGGUAUUGUUAACAUGUUAACCCACUUCUUUUGUUUUUGAUUCAGGUUCUCAAGCAGUUCGUGUACAAAGAACACCGGUUUGAAAUAUGCCUACAUUGUAUUGUUCUAAUAAGGUAAUGAGAGCACUGGUCGUAUAGGUAUUAAGACACGAUAAAGAACUGGACCACUGGGCUGGAUACACAAACUGCUGAUGAAUACUGGACCGAUCUCGUAGUGUGAAGGAUGUCGGGGUCGGUAUUAAGAUCAGUCUCACUACUGAACAAGCUUAGUGAUUGGAUUUCGAUAAUUUAAUCGUGAAUAGAAAGACAGGUAACUGACAACUCUGUCUCACACCAUAUGGCUGCAGACCACAAAAUAUUCUCUCAAGGCUGAGGUGUAGUUAUUCCACGAUUGAAGAUACGAUUGUUUGGAACUGGUGCGAUUUGUAAACUGAAAUGGUGAUCUGGUGUCUACAGACAGCACCCCUCGUCUUAAAACACCAAUAAUCCCACACUGAUCAGCAGUGAAUAUUUGCUAGACUGCUACAAUCACUGAGAGGGGUGACAUCGGUGCGGCUUAAUGAGCCCCCAACAUUAACCUUUUUCAUUCUGCAAAUUAAAUUCUAGAACAUUUUAUAAGCAUUAGAAAAUUAAAUAAAGGUGUUUG